GCGAGUUGACGAUAGAAAUUCAUUAGUCUGUCAAUCCACUGACUAAACAAAUUUGUGAUGUUAUCAUGAAUCCCGACAGGUUCCGAUCGC